UACGGAGGGAGCUAGCGUUGUUCGGAAUUACUGGGCGUAAGGCGCACGUAGGCGGCUUUGUAAGUUAGAGGUGAAAGCCCGGGGCUCAACUCCGGAACUGCCUUUAAGACUGCAUCGCUUGAAUCCGGGAGAGGUGAGUGGAAUUCCGAGUGUAGAGGUGAAAUUCGUAGAUAUUCGGAAGAACACCAGUGGCGAAGGCGGCUCACUGGACCGGUAUUGACGCUGAGGUGCGAAAGCGUGGGGAGCAAACAGG
rnacentral:rRNA from 1 species